UACGAAGGGGAGCUAGCGUUGUUCGGAAUUACUGGGCGUAAAGCGCACGUAGGCGGAUAUUUAAGUCAGGGGUGAAAUCCCAGAGCUCAACUCUGGAACUGCCUUUGAUACUGGGUAUCUCGAGUAUGGAAGAGGUGAGUGGAAUUCCGAGUGUAGAGGUGAAAUUCGUAGAUAUUCGGAGGAACACCAGUGGCGAAGGCGGCUCACUGGUCCAUUACUGACGCUGAGGCGCGAAAGCGUGGGGAGCAAACAGG
rnacentral:rRNA from 1 species